GACGAACGCUAGCGGCGUGCUUAACACAUGCAAGUCGAACGGAAAGGCCCUGCUUUUGUGGGGUGCUCGAGUGGCGAACGGGUGAGUAACACGUGAGUAACCUGCCCUUGACUUUGGGAUAACUUCAGGAAACUGGGGCUAAUACCGGAUAGGAGCUCCUGCUGCAUGGUGGGGGUUGGAAAGUUUCGGCGGUUGGGGAUGGACUCGCGGCUUAUCAGCUUGUUGGUGGGGUAGUGGCUUACCAAGGCUUUGACGGGUAGCCGGCCUGAGAGGGUGACCGGCCACAUUGGGACUGAGAUACGGACCAGACUCCUACGGGAGGCAGCAGUGGGGAAUAUUGCACAAUGGGCGGAAGCCUGAUGCAGCAACGCCGCGUGCGGGAUGACGGCCUUCGGGUUGUAAACCGCUUUCGCCUGUGACGAAGCGUGAGUGACGGUAAUGGGUAAAGAAGCACCGGCUAACUACGUG
rnacentral:rRNA from 1 species